GAGGAAGUGACUCACUGCUGAGUCUCUUAUAGGUCCACAGCUUGGCGAUAAUAUCCAGGUAGGACACCUGACUCCAAGGGCAAGUAAGGAGUUCAAAGAAGAAGGGGGCCACAUGGAUCCAAGAAGAGCAAACAGGCCUGUCUCACCAGGCCUUGGACAGAGGCUCACACUGAUUCUGCCCUGAAAUGCCGGCCAACUUUGGAAAUGAGCCUCCCAAGUGUGGGCACAAGUUCCUCUCUGCCAGAAGGACCCUGGCGAGCCCUCCCCAGCAAGACUUCCUGGGCCUCCACUGCCUCCUCUCCUCGCUCUCUGGAGACUCUCCUUCAUUCGGGUGCAGCG